UACGUAGGGGGCUAGCGUUGUCCGGAUUCAUUGGGCGUAAAGAGCUCGUAGGCGGCUUGUCACGUCGGAUGUGAAAGCCCGAGGCUUAACCUCGGGUCUGCAUUCGAUACGGGCUAGCUAGAGUGUGGUAGGGGAGAUCGGAAUUCCUGGUGUAGCGGUGAAAUGCGCAGAUAUCAGGAGGAACACCGGUGGCGAAGGCGGAUCUCUGGGCCAUUACUGACGCUGAGGAGCGAAAGCGUGGGGAGCGAACAGG
rnacentral:rRNA from 1 species